GAAGCGGGGUGAUGUUCGCGUCGCCCCGGCGGACCGAAAGGGAAUCGGGUUAAUAUUCCCGAACCUCGACGCGGAGAUUGGCGCUCCGGCGCCUAGUGCGGCAACGCAAACGAACUCGGAAACGCCGACGUGGGUCCCGGGAAGAGUUCUCUUUUCUUGGUAAGGGGCGGCGACCCUGGAAUCGGUUCGCCCGGAGAUAGGGACAUGGGCCCCGUAAAGCAGCACGUCUCUUGUGCUGUCCGGUGAGCUCGCGUCGGCCCUUGAAAAUCCGAGGGAGACGGUGUAAUUUUCGUGCGAGGUCGUACCCAUAUCCGCAGCAGGUCUCCAAGGUGAACAGCCUCUGGCCGAUAGAACAAUGUAGGUAAGGGAAGUCGGCAAACUAGAUCCGUAACUUCGGGAAAAGGAUUGGCUCUAGGGGCUGGGUCGGUCGGGCUGAGGUACGAAGCGGGGCGCGGCGCUGUACCGGACUGGGCGAACGACGGCCUCCCUCGCGGGGGGCUGGCGUGAGCCUGGACCUGUGUCGGCGUCUUCCCGUGGAAUGCCGCAGCUAACGCGGGCCUCGCGGCCCGCUUCGGCCGGCGUCGAACAGCCGACUUAGAACUGGUACGGACCGGGGGAAUCCGACUGUUUAAUUAAAACAAAGCUUUGCGAUGGCCAAUAGCCGGUGUGACGCAAUAAAAAAUAUAUACAUAAAAGGGCAAAAACAAGUGAAACCGACAAACUUUUAGGGUUAUAUUCUCACUGAUACCUUAAAUUGCGAAAGUAACUGUGCUUUUGAUGAGUUUAAUUAAAAAUUAAAAAAAAUUACAUAGGCGCAAUUAAUCAAAAGAGUUAGGAAAAUAAGGAAAAACGCAUUAUUCAAGAUAGUUUGUAGUGGUUAGUUUCUUUUAAAAUCGGAUUUUUCACUUAUUUUUUGGCAAGUUUUUUUAAUAAAUCCAGUAAGUACGAUUUUCCAUCGGCGACAAUCACAUGCACUGUAAUUUAUUACAGAUUAUAUUUAAAAGAUUUAU
rnacentral:ncRNA from 1 species